GACGAACCGAGCGAACGUUGUUCGGAAUCACUGGGCUUAAAGGGCGCGUAGGCGGGCUGUCAAGUCUGGGGUGAAAUCCCACGGCUCAACCGUGGAACUGCCUCAGAUACUGACGGCCUCGAGGGAGGUAGGGGCGAGCGGAACGGGUGGUGGAGCGGUGAAAUGCGUUGAUAUCACUCGGAACUCCGGUGGCGAAGGCGGCUCGCUGGACCUUUUCUGACGCUGAGGCGCGAAAGCUAGGGGAGCAAACGGG
rnacentral:rRNA from 1 species